AUCGCACCAGGCACUACCUAACAAAAUAAAUUCAAGCAAAAAAGCAGGCAGUUUAAAUUCCUAAUUUGGAAAAUUAACCAUAAUAAAAGCAUUUCAAUGACACAAAACCUUCCCUUGAAGACCUCCGCACUUUGUUAGCCAGUGAUAUCUGUGUAAAGCGGUCAACAUACCUAUAGAACCGACUUUUACGCAUCAGCCGUUCGCUGUUUCUUUCCACUCAAAACACGUCAUGGCGAACACCGCACUUCCAUGUAAUAUAUGUCGCCAAGGCUAUUCUACCCAUUAUCUGGUGUCCCCCGUGGAGAAUAAAAGUAAUUCCAAGAUGUCGAAGAGAGCUGACAAAUGCCACAAGCUCCCUAGGAAAGCUCAUGGCACUUUCUUUAAAGUUAUGAAGAGCUUUCCUAGCCAAGUACACAUUUGGACGGUGUGUUUCGAACACCAAAAUACCCUCUAGAGCACCUGAAACUAUACCAAUCUAUCAAGUUUAUCCAGGGUUUUUAGGGGUUUAAAGAAUUGUAUUGAUAUUAAAUGUUACUAAAGAGCUGUUCUUGGUAUAAUCAUUAGUUUUGCCGAGGGGUUCGACCUUUAAUUGUAAGGUAAACAUAAGAAGAGCCUCGAAACAAAGUGUCUCGCCAUCCGAAGAGCAAUAGCCUCUGAUAUUCUCUUGCCAAUGAGCUUCUUCUGGCUACGGAAAAGUGUAAAAGUUCAAUACAAAAGGAGAGAGUGGCGCAGAGCAGAUGGAAGAAAACACCUUGAAUCGUACCUAUAGAACCGACUUCUACGCAUCCGUCGUUCUCAGUUUCUUUGGUCCGGUAGUUCCUGUAGCAAACACGACAUUUCCACGUAAACAUACUUUGUUCUUAAGUGACUAACCGUGCACUUUUUAAACUCGUAUGACGCAGAAAAUCUUUUACAGGAAGUAUCAACCGAAUAUAUUCAAAAGAGCAAAACACAUUAUAAUAUACCUAUAUUGACACUUACUUUAAUCAUAUUUAACCGGAAGACUGUACCAAAAAUAUUAAAAUCAACGUCAAAAAUGUUCAAUUUAAUUUGCACACGUUCUAUUAUUUAUAUAUAUAUUAUACACAUAAAUUUAGCUAUAAAAUAAUAAUUAAAUAUGUGAAAGAACCCAAGGAAAUUUGGUUAAAAAUUUGUAUUCGCCAAAACACGUUUGAUCUCUAUAGAUACCAUUGAUGUUUUGCAUUUAUCUUCGGGUUAAUCCCAAUAUUAUGUAUGUACAAAUCGGUUUCAAAACUGACAAAUAAGCGUAUUUCGAUUGAAACAAAUGGCUAAAAUUGAAAUACUUCUAGUCUACUACUUAAGAUUAUGUACGAGUUCACCGAAUACACAAGUAUUUAGCCAUUGACAUUUCGUAGAACCCAGCGUAGGACCCGCUCC